rnacentral:lncRNA from 1 species
UAGGUUAUCUAGCACAAAUUCUUUAAAAUUUAGUCCACAUCAAAUUUUUUUUCUUCAACUUACCAUUGCAAGAUGAAAGUCUUUUUCCUCUCUCUCUUCUCUCAUAUCUAUUUUUGAGAGAGAGAGCACUUUUUCUCUUCAAUUUUCUUAUAAAUUUGGAUCAGUUGAUCGAUUUUUAUUUCAUUUUUAUCGGACAAUAAACUUCCAACAUGGUUCGGAGUUUCUCUUCCGACUAAAUCCGUAUCUUCGCCUUUUGCGAUGCGAUGUUUAAUUCUCAAUUUUUCUUUUAAAAUUUGUUGCAGGUUUCAUCUCUUGCUUGGAGUAAUAUCUUUGCUUGCUUCUUCCUCUUGCCUAGUGCAAUGAUACUUAAAAAUUCAUUGGAUCUGAUGGUGGCGGAGCUUCCCUGAAGGUUGAAAUUUCAAUAAAUAUUUAAAAUAGAUUUACUCUGUUUUGCAGUGUUUUAAAUUCCAAUGACUAUAUCUUGGAAUUGAAGAUCGUCAAAAGGAAAGACUCAAGGUACAAAUCAAUUUGCUGUAAAGUUUGGAACUGUUGGAGAUGAAACGUGAGAUGCCGGAGGCGAAGAAUGGUGUCGGAAACAGCAAGGAUUGAAGACACACUCGAUGAAGGACAUGUGGAUUUCUAAUUGCUUGAGUAGUCACGCGUGUUUUAUACACGUGUUUAUUUUAUGUGUGUUCUGAUUUGAGUUUGUAACUAGGCUUAACAAAUUGUGUACUUUGUUUCGUUGCCCAUUAGGCUCUGAGACCAUGCCCAUCGCUGGAUUCAGAUGGAGUUCUUAGGUACUUUUACUAAUUAAAAUAAAUGAAAAAUGCAAAAAGUUCUACGAACCCGA